CCAGACUGAACUGACAGACAUGAUUUUGCAUCAUGAAGUACCACCUCCAACACAGACAGUAUCUUCUGUACGUCCUCCCAGUUCGGACUUCCAGAGUCUUCUGAACGGCUUACUCAGCAAAGAACCCGAUAAGAGGAUGGACUGGCCAGAGUUGCUGGAUCACCCUUUCUGGAAACAGGAGGAAGAUAUUGUGGUGGAAGGUGAAACGGAAGAUGAUGAAGGCUGCAACGUUAAACAAAAAGUCUGUGAAGGAGUUAAUUCAGUUUGCUUGAGAAACACAUGGACACAUAACAUUUCACCUCCCGGACUGACAGACAAGCUUCUCACCAACCGCUCAGUCCCAUCACAGCUGAUCCCAUCGCAUCAAACGACUGACAGACUGUUUGACAGAAGCACCGAUCGCCAACAAUCUGUCAAACACGUGUCCUGCAGACCCUUAAAGUACGACCAAGGUUUAGAUAAGGAGCCGGGAAAGGAGAGAAGAAGGGAAGAGCUGGAAGAAACCGAAGAUGACCUCAAGCUAAGCGGAACCAAGCAGACAUG
rnacentral:lncRNA from 1 species